AAAAUUCUCACAAAGUAAAUUUUUGUGGAGCUAAAAGGGCUGCUCGCCUCCAUUUGGUACUUUUGUAUGACCCUUGUACCAUCGUAGAUCCUAUCGGAACUCCCCUGAUCAUAUACAAGACCACACCCACCAAUUGAGGCCAACAACCGCUAAAAUGAGGGUCGAGAUAGAUCCAACAAAGCCGUUGUUAAAUGAGAACUCCGUGGUAAUAAGGAAUGCACAGGGUUAAGUUGGAACUUCUAUACAAAGGAUUGAAUACGAAACCAUGCCGUCUUUCUGCUCGAAUUGCAAAGUACAGGGAC
rnacentral:lncRNA from 1 species